GGCGCUGUGGCCGAGCGGUUAAGGCGACAGAUUAGAAUCGUUACUGAGUCUAAUAUCUGUUUCCCUAUGGGAGCGUGAGUUCAAAUCUCACCGGCGUCG
rfam:Ceriporiopsis subvermispora B unplaced genomic scaffold CERSTscaffold_6, whole genome shotgun sequence.